UGCAGUCGAGGGGUAUUUAUCUUCGGAUAGAGAGACCGGCGCACGGGUGCGUAACGCGUAUGCAAUCUACCUUUUACAGAGGGAUAGCCCAGAGAAAUUUGGAUUAAUACCUCAUAGUAUAUAGACUCGGCAUCGAGAUUAUAUUAAAGUCACAACGGUAAAAGAUGAGCAUGCGUCCCAUUAGCUAGUUGGUAAGGUAACGGCUUACCAAGGCUACGAUGGGUAGGGGUCCUGAGAGGGAGAUCCCCCACACUGGUACUGAGACACGGACCAGACUCCUACGGGAGGCAGCAGUGAGGAAUAUUGGACAAUGGGCGCAAGCCUGAUCCAGCCAUGCCGCGUGCAGGAUGACGGUCCUAUGGAUUGUAAACUGCUUUUAUACGAGAAGAAAUACUGCUACGUGUAGCAGCUUGACGGUAUCGUAAGAAUAAGGAUCGGCUAACUCCGGGCCAGCAGCCGCGGUAAUACGGAGGAUCCAAGC
rnacentral:rRNA from 1 species